rnacentral:rRNA from 1 species
AUUGAACGCUGGCGGCAUGCUUUACACAUGCAAGUCGAGCGGCAGCACGGGGGCAACCCUGCUCGCGAGCGGCGAACGGGUGAGUAAUACAUCGGAACAUGCCCAGUCGUGGGGGAUAACACUUCGAAAGAAGUGCUAAUACCGCAUACGUCAUUAGGGAGAAAGCAGGGGAGCUUCGGACCUCGCGCGAUUGGAGGUGCCGAUGUCAGAUUAGCUAGUUGGUGGGGUAAAGGCUUACCAAGGCAACGAUCUGUAGCUGGUCUGAGAGGAUGAUCAGCCACACUGGGACUGAGACACGGCCCAGACUCCUACGGGAGGCAGCAGUGGGGAAUUUUGGCCAAUGGGGGCAACCCUGAUCCAGCCAUUCCGCGUGAGUGAAGAAGGCCUUCGGGUUGUAAAGCUCUUUCGGCAGGAACGAAACGGCGAGCUCUAACAUAGCUUGCUAAUGACGGUACCUUAAGAAGAAGCACCGGCUAACUACGUGCCAGCAGCCGCAGUAA